UGCUUUGCUUUAACAGAAAUUUACAUAAGGGUUGUCAAACAAUAACUUUUUUUAAUUAAUCGCUAACUUUGAAGAGUUAUUUGCAGUUUCAAUCAUACGUUCUAAAUUGCCUCACUUUGUAUUUCUAAACAUUUUUUUAAGUUCCUGUGAGGAACCUUUGGUUUGUGUCAACAUCACUGCCCCCAAUGGACAAAGCAGCCUUUGCUUAACUUGUCCAUGAAUGCUUAAGUCGUCUCAUUUGACCAAUCAUUCAGACUUUUGACAGGCAAAUUUAGUUGUUUCUUCUGCUGACAUCCACCGUCACACACAAGUUUCAGACAUUUAAAAACUAUAAUAAUCUAAUAAAAAAAUCUCAGUGUUGUUGCUGAUGGUCUUGUCUGCUCGUACAUAUCAUUAAAUAAUGUCACUUUGAAUUUCAGCCUAUAUCAUCAAUGUCAAAAAAACUCCACACAGGAGCUUUAAGUCCAUAUAGUAAUAUAAAACAAUGCAAACCAGUAUUAUUCAAAGAACGCUGAAUCCUGAUUCUGAGGUUAGGGGCAGCUUCAAAGUGUGUAUUCCGUGAAAUACAGAGUUAUUUUCCAUCACAGAAACAUAAAAAGGAAGCAUGAUGCUAUUGCAGCCUGACUGAGGUGUGCUUAAAGGGAAAAAUGGCACACCACUGAAGAAAAAGCCUGAACUUUGGACCCUAAUUGCAUCAAAAUUAACACAUCAACACCAAGACCUCUAAUAAAUAACUUUCCUAUUUGGCUGCAGUGACACUGAGCUCAAAUGGAGCUUAUUCAAAAUUAAAUGAUACAUAAAGACCAUUUACUCCAUGUCUGUAUUUUGCAUGCUAUUUAUACAUAAGAAAUGUUAUGAUAACUACAUUUGUGGCCAGAAAUGCAGAAAAAGAGGUCAUUUUUGCAGAGUUGCUAGAUAAAUUGGUGGAAGGGUAAUUUUCUGGCUGAUGACAAAACUUCCUAAAAUUGUAACAGCUAGAAAGCUUUCAAGAAAAAAAUGCCUUUUAACCCACACCAAAAUACACACAGGUGCAUGGGUGUUUUGGAAACCCUAUUAUAAUAUGUGUCAGAAAGAAAAGCUUUCAUUCUCACUUGUUGAUGGCACGAUGAAAAGCACAUUUUCUGGCAGUCUAAGUUGAUAUAUCUGCAAAUAACACAGUAAUCUCCCCAUGGCCGGCCAAACAUGCCUGUGUUUACUUGCUUGUCCCACAUAAAAGAGCAGCUCAGUCAUUCGCUCUUAUACACAAGCAAAGGCAAACAUUCCCUUUAUUGUGCAGACUCUUCUCUUUCUCCUUAUUUUAUUUUCCCUUCCUCUCUGAGCCCAGGAAGGGCGCACUCACACACUCACCCCGGAACAAGCCUGGAGGUCUUUGGACCACACACAGAGCAUCUCAAAGAUCUCUCUGACUCUUUUUCUCCUGUCCUCCCUCCCUUCUUGUCUUUUUUCCUGUUUCAAAUCAUCACUCAUUUCAAUCAUACCCUCUUUGUCAUAUUUCUCUCUCUCUCUCUUGUUCCAUAUUUCACCUUGUCUGAGCCCAGCCUGACAAAGUACAGGUUGUGUGGCCAUUGUUUCAUAUCUGUAUCUCCACUCCAGCAGUGCGUUCUGCUCCCUCUAUUUGUUUGAAUGUGUUGAUGUGAACUGUAGAGAAGAUGGUCACUUGGUAUGAUAUUUAUGCCUGUGAGACCACCCAGCCAGCUGGGCCAAGACACAGGGAGCUGGGGCCUUAUUUUUCAACGCCUCCACUGUUCCCAGGGCCUCAGAGCUGAAUGAGAUUAAUCCCUCUCUGUCACCAGUAUGAAGGAUUAUGACGCAGCUUGGACAGGAUAGUCAUUUGUGUAACAUCCAGGUGAAAGACAGGAUGUGCAAACAGACUGUGUCUUUUGUAUUGAUUAAGCGGGGAAUAGAAAGAUAAGUGCGAGUCACAUGAGGCAGGAUUUGAUAAAGUGAUUCCCUCUAGUGGUUACAAAAGAAAAGUCAGGAUAAAAAACUGAACUCUUUUAGUAAAUCCCUAGUACAAGGCAGGGAGUCCAAAUCUGCUGUACUUGAAACUACUGCAAGGAACUUUUACGGGUAUCAUUCAAACUCAACCAGCGUUAAAUAUCAACAUAUAUGUUUAAAGGAGGUAAAGAAAUUGUAGACUGCAUUAAACAUAGAUGUACUCUCACUGACAUCACUCCCUGGUUUCUAAAGUGGAGAUCUGAAGCCUGUUUGGAAAGGAUGAUUCAGCCAAACUUCAGCUGACUGAGCAUGAGACGAAAAGUUAAGGUAAGCCUUUAGCCUCCAUGCUUAAAGAUAUAACAUGCCUCUCUUUUGGUCAGCUCAGCCAUGCCCCAGUCCUGCAAAACUUGAAACUUUUAUAUCUUCUAAACUAAGUCAUAAUGUAAGAUAACCCCCCAUACAACAUAAGCAGAGACAGAAAUUAGCUUUCAUGUUAUAAACACCUUCAUUUCACCAUCUCUGUGAAGAUGGUCUUAUUUGAAUGGUUGUGUAUAUGGCUCCCACAGCCAUUCUAAAGUGAACAUCCUAGGGACUACGAUUUUUAGCAUUAUGACAAUAGGUUUCAUUUUUCAAGACCAGUGGUUGCUUUAGCAGUGUUAAAUAGUCAGUAGAACUUGUCAAAUAUGAACCACUUACGGUUAAAACAGCUCUCAAUGUAAUAAACAUGAAGUUAUCUCUGUUUAGCCAAAUGCUUAGCUAGUAACAAAAACAACUGAAAAAUUGUGCCUCUGUUCCUUGAAAUGAUAACAGCACAACAAAUUGCAGCUGAAAGUUUGGGCGGAGAAUUUAAUUAGCGUAGUCUUCUAUUAGUUUAGGGAUGAAGUUUUAAUCUCUAAACUAGCCAACAGUUGGCAAAAAAAAGGAAAAAAAACAUCAUGGCUAGAAAAAGUGAUCAAAGCACUUAAAUGUAAACCAAGCAGCUAUAAUAUUAACAACAGGCUAUAUGAAUGUGUCCAAUUCUAAAUAUGCAAUAAAUACAAGACAUAUGAAGUGUCCACGACACAUACAAGCAUUUUUGAUUAUUGUCUCAAUCCAGUCCUUUUGUCUUAUUGCAUUUAAUCAAAGUUAGCUUCAUUUUUCUUGUCACAGGCAGUGGCAGCUGGUAGAGAUAUAGGUAGGAUUCAAGUUUUGGGGCGUUGCUAUAACUACUUCUAUUUGGGCACCUGCCAUUAGAACAAGAUCACUUUCAAGACCCUUAUGUCGUCCUCUAUCCAGUGUUUGCUGUUCAUGUUGGCCUCCACUUUUGCUUUGCUUUGCCUCAAGCUAAUACCGUGGCAAUGCUAUUAUCAGGACAUUGGCCCCUCAGACCACUGAAAUCCUCAGUUUUCCCACUGAAGUACGUCCACAAACCACUUGAAAAAGAGAAUUAGUGUCAAGACAGGUGAGAAUGAAUAAAUGAACAGUCAACCUAAUCAAAAUGGAUUCCCGUCCCCUUAUGUAAGCGGUAAAAAGUUCAUUUUGGCUUCUUGAAGGAAGUAUAAAGACACAUGUGUCCUUGACCUGGUUGGCCUGACAUGGUGGCUGAUACUGUGGAUAAGGAGGUCUGAGCAUCGUGUUGGGUGGCACCAUGUGUGAGCAUGGGAUUUACAGUGUCUCCAGACCACACACACACACACACACACACACACACACACACACACACACUUAGAAAGAGGGAGCGAUGGAUGAAGGAAGAAGGAUAGAGGGGAAUUAAGCAAAAGAGAGAAGAGAAAGAUAGAAAUAUAAAAGAGGAGAGAGAUCUGGGGAAGUUGGUUGUACCAGCUGAUGUGUGUGAUGCGCAUAUACAAAGCCCCCAAUGCCAGCUAAACUGUUUGGUAGAUAAAAUCACUUCAGAGAAGCCAACAAUUUAAGAGCAAAAUUACACUUCUCUUCCGAUGAUCAUCAGAUUAAAACAGAUGGGUAAAAUGUACAUCACGGCAAAUAAAGCUGCUCAGAAAUGGAAACAUAUCACAAGCAUCACAGCAUGUUUAAAAGUCUGAAAAUUAUUUCUACAUUGACUUCUCAUAUUGGGUUUCAUUGUUGUGUUUCGUUCGACACCAUGAUUUCAACAUGUUCAUAUUUACCUCUAUGUAAAGUAUAUGCCUCGAAACAUCUAAUGGAAAUUUUCUAUACAAAAAAGGUGUUCCACAAGGAUCAAUUGUGGGUCCCACUGACUUUAAGAAUAAUAUUUAAAUGAAUAUGAAAUUUUUCAAAAGCCAACUUUGUACACCUUGAUACAGAUGAUAACAUUCUAUUUUAAACUUCAAUGAUUUUAAGGCAUGAAAAACUAUAUUGAUCAUGUAUAAAUAACUAAAUGACAAACAAAAGGCUGUGCUACAUUAUGCUGCCUUUCAGAAGCACUAGUUCACCAAACUGAGUGUAUGGAUCUUUUUCUCCAUAGUCUACUGUGGGAGGACAGAUCUCACACUACAAUACCACUGAAAGAUUUAGAUACUAUAUUGAACAGCAUUAAAGAAAUAACACAGAAAGAUGGAAAAAUUUUCAAAUAUGCCAAUAAAUACAGACUUGUAUAUCUUUCGAGUUAGACCCUCAGUGCCUUGUGGGACCUUUCUCUGUGAUUCACUGUAAAGUUUUCCAGCUCUGACUCGAGUUUAGGGGAAGUGCAGUGCAGCCAUGAAGGAGAAAGCAAUGUGUGCUAAAUGGUCCAUGGCUCGUCCGGCCUCUGCAAGCCCCUCUGGACCCCAUAUGGUGAAUGUGUGUGUGCUGCAUGCAUGGACGCAUGGCCUAGCCCUUGGCAGGACUGCUCCCAACUGGAUAACAUCCCAUAAAACCCUGACACACACACAUAAGGGCACUAUGCAUACCUAUGUUAAAAAACACCUGAUACCGUUUAAUAUCAUAUGUGACAUAUAUCAGACUAUUAUCAGAUUUAUGCUGUUUUCUAAGGGUAUUUUUUUGUUUUGAGUGGACAUGUAAAAUACCGACAGCAUGCACAGAGUUGUAGGCUUGCACUCAAAUCUAAUCUAAUCUGAUGUAAACAAAUUCCUUUCUCACAUUUGUAUACAUGAACUCAAACAGUAGCUCGCCUUUUAGCAAUUUUAAUAACCCUUCCCUCCCAACAAAUCCUGCAAACAAAAUACUUCAAAUGGAGACAGCAUGUAGCCUUGUCUCCACUUGUCUCUUGCAGGAGCUGAACUACUACAGACACCAUGUUGUACUCCCCCAAUCCUGAUUGUGAAGUGGGGAAUGAAGGGGAACAUAAUUGCAUGCUUAAACGCCUGAGAAACGGACGUCCAGUUCUGCUGAGCUGGUGCUUUUUGUGUGGCCUCAUUGUUGGGACGUGCAGUCAUGCAGCUCUUUUAGUCUCUGUUGGUGCUCAUGUUGGGUUAGGGGUGGUUCAGAAGAGUGGAAGAGGGGAAAUAUUGUCUCGCAGCCUGGCAGGAGGAGGAAUCAGAGGCUCUCAGCUCUUUCUGUUGCACUUCUGUCCCAUGGUCUACCAUGGCUGUUGUCGGCCAUUUAAUCAGCAAUGUUUAGAGCGCCUGUGGAGCCUUUGAUAACUCGACACGACCUACACAAACACAAGGAUGCACACAUCACAUGCACAUGCAUGCACAGACGCCACAGUGUUAUCUUUUCUGCUUGAUGUACUUAGUGUGACCAAAGUAGCAGAACAAAAGGCUCCUCUACAGGGCUGCAGUGUAAUGAGGACCAGUUUGAUCGUAAAUAUGUUGCUCUGCAGAGUUUUCCAUCUCACUGCAGGACAAAAGGAACAGGCCAUCAAAUUCGGGUCAUCAGAGGCUUCUACGUUGUAAAUCAACUCACUGAGCAGAUCAGUUGUGUCAUCACGGGCUGUCUGUGGCCUCAAAGUGGUCAACAGAGGGAGAAGGCAGGAUUCCCCCGGCACAGGUGACAGUGAAAGUAACAAGUGACAGAAAAGAGGCAGAACAAAGCAAUAAACAAGUGGUUUCCUAAAUUCUUGUGGUUAUGGGGAGAAGUCAGGAGGUACCCAAUUAAGUAUGCCCUGUGUGUAACAAAGGGCCUCAAUGAAAGAGGAGAGGAGGGAAUUAUAACAAGUAGUGUGGGAGUGAGAAAAUCUGGAUAAUGUUCAAGACUGCUCAGAAAAGAUUCAAAGUUUGUACAACAUAACCAAGCAGCACUUAUGUUCUCCAGCCCUGCUGAACAGACACUUUUUACAGUGACUAGCGCUUAAUCCCUGGAAGAACCUCUUGAAUUUCUGAAGAUGAUAGAUAAGACAAAGACUUGAUUAGGACUGCUGUUGACAUUUUUCUAGCAGAAACCAAUGGACAGUCAUACAGCCUCUGCAUGUACAAACAGAGUUGUUGAUCACAUCUCUUUUAGCACAGACUUAUUUACGCUGAACCUCUCUAAAGUAAUAAAUGGGGACAAGGGGUCAUCCCAGUAGGGACAAUCCAAUUUAGUGAAAAACAGGAUGGUUCAUGACCCCUUCUGUGUCCCAUCUGUUAACACUGGGGUCAACUUUAUGGCCUACACUGCAGCCAGUCUCCUAGGGGAGUUCUAAAAGUUUUAGCUCAACUUUGAGGAGAUGCUAUGUUGUCCAUUUAUACAAUCUUUGGUCUUAAACAGUAUGAUUCAUCAUCUUAGAUGAUAAUCAAUCUGUGGUUCAUUGAUUUUUUAAAUGUCGUGCCAUUCAGAUACAACUGUUUUCCAUUUCUUUAAAGAGAAGACACACUGAAACUAAAACAUGAGCUAUUAAGAACCUAAUGAAGUGGAUAGGACAGCAUGUGUAUGGGAAAGCAACAGACUACAAAUGAAAGGAAAAAUUAAGCUUGAAUUAUCAACCUACUUUUCCAUGUCUGCAAUCACGGCUUAUGAAGUUGAAACUGUCAUUUUUGGCAGUGCACUAAUUGCUUUUGGCCGGGAGUGGACCCUCUGACUCAUGAGAGAGACAUGGUGGAACACAGAUGGAGUGUUUCCGAAGCUCCUGAGAGUGGCACAAGACCGCCAUUCAGGUCUGUGAUUAUGACCAACAACAGAAGUUUGGACUGGUCCAACACUAUGUUUUAUUCAGAUCAAACAUCAAUACAGGCAAAUUAAUCUGCAAGGGAUUAAAGCAAUGGCUGCAGGAAACACUUUGUCUAGAGAAAUACACUUUACAAUCUGCCUAAGUCAAUCCAGGUGGGACUUUGGGGAGCCAAAUUUCAUGGCGGAUGCAAACUAAUGCACCCUCCUGACCUGAUUAGAAUCAGUUAUGAAAUAUUUCCCUUUUAGUCUAUGAAGAUUAUUUACAAAAUGUAAUUAAAUUGACCCUUCUUAAGGAGGAACUUUGUAAAAUGACAUAUUAUAGUAUCUGUUAUAAACAUCACUAUCUUUGCCAUAAACGGCACUUGACUACAUUUACACCUUCUUUUCCUUUUUUUUCAUUUCUUGGUAAGGCGAAAUAUCAGCAUUAAAUACUAUUUCAAUGUGGUUUUGAAUUAAACUUUCUAGCUUUUUACAAAUGUUAAAUCUUUCCCGCUCUGAUAUUGACAUCUUGACUGAGUGAUUUGUCAAUACUUUUGAGUUCUUCUUUAAGAAGAGCUAAAAUGACACGUUUGGCUGUUUAAUCGAUGGAUAGAUAAAUAGAUAGAUAGAUAGAUAGAUAGAUAGAUAGAUAGAUAGAUAGAUAGAUAGAUAGAUAGAUACUUUAUUAAUCCUAGAGGGAAAUUCAAAUUCAGACUUAAUUGAUCAGACUUUUUUUUACAAAGCACUUUUUAUAAAUAAACUAUGUAACACAAAGUGCUGUACAUAAAAAAGGAAAAUAAGUUGUAACCCCCCCCCCAUGAGUGUUGUCCUGGUUGAGCUGUAAAAAGUUCUCUGCCUUGCAUGACUUCAUAUUUAAAAUACAGUUUAAAAGGGUAUUAAUUGGCCCUCAGGAGACAUGAGAAUAUAGAGCUGUAAGUCAUCUGCAUAGCUGUAGAAGUUGAUGUUAUGCUUCUCGUGACAUUUCCAAGUAUUAACACAUCAUCGUUAAAAAUCAUAGGACCUAAAAUUGACCUCUGAGAGACACCACAACUAAUUUUGUAUUGUCUAGAUGAGAUUGUAAGUUGAUAUGUGAUGAAUAGCUUUUUUUCUUUGUGACAAGAUUUGAAAUUCAGGAAUGAAAACUUGACAGCAACAAAACAGCUAAGCAUACAAUUUUUUUCAGACCGAAACAUGUAACAAUCACAUUUUGAUUAAGUUCAAGGCCUGUUGCAGGUUUUGAAUGACCUAUUGUGUCUUUUUGUGCCAAUUUUUUUCCGAAGUUUGUCUCAGCAGUAGAUAUAUGGGGUAACUUUGAAAGGUUCAAGACAACAGAACAAUUGCUCUGAAAAUCAAGAGUUUUUCUUCCAGAAAAAACUCCCACAAAUCUCACUAGAGAAGUAUAGGCUCAAAUGACGAUCGAUGGAAACUUCUUAUCUGCAGCCUCUGAUUUAUUUACCUCCACUGUAUCUGCUUGAGUGCUAAUGCAUUAUUGUUAAUGAAGCUAGAGAAGGCCCUUGUGGUUCAGUGAAAGAACAAGUGUGUGAGAUCUAGUGUAGUAUGUAAACCGUUUGACAUCAGUGUUUGGGCCUUCUUUAUGAGAACAUCUGCGGCAGCUGCCCUAUAAAUUCCCAGCGUUGAGAAAACAGGAACAAAAAGUUCCAUUUUUGUAUGGCAGUGUACCAUGGCAAGUAGCGGACCCAGUCGUGCCUCAUCUGGAGCACCAUGGCCAGCGUUUAGGGAAAGUCAAAUCAGGGAUGUAGAACUGAGACAUGGUUGCUGUGUGUUUACAUGUCUGUUCUGCAUAGCAACAGACCUCAGAGUGAGCUUAUUUAUGGCAAAUCCAGAGGACAGACAAACCAACGUGUACAGUGUGAUUUGACUUUAUUUCUACGACCAUCUAGUCCCAAGUUUUUAAUGUGUAAAUAACUUCCUAUCUUUAACUUCAGCCUUGAUUUUUGUGUGCAUAUACAGUAUAUGUGUCAUUCUGUCAGUUCCAGUAGUCUCUUGCUCUCUGCUCUCUACAGCUCAUCCUUAUUUUUUGAUUACUUAAGAUUUGUAAGAUGAAAAGUUUGGGUUAUUUGAACUGUUAUUUAUACACCAUUAAGGAAAUGAUGUAAGUUUUUGCUUUUGGAGAAUUCAGUGGGCAUUUCUACUCUCUUACAGUUGUUUUUUGUUGCUCUACUGUCAUUCCCUUUCUAUUCCACAACAUCUCAGCUUCAAUCUCUUCUUCUCUCCUUCUGUCCCCCUCUCUUUGCAUCUUUUCCAGACUUUAGCUGCUACAUGGGAAUAAAGCGGCAAAUGACAAAAAAACUGCUUUCAAAACAAGGUCAGAGUUCAUAUGUCAAGGCACUUUAAUACUAUAUAGAUGCAUGUUUGUACUGCUCAAAUGCAUGUAAGACUGACAUGACACCCAAAGACAGUGAGUUCGACAGUAGCAUAAUAACAUUUAUACAAAAAGGGCCACCUGCUAUUUUCAGUCAUCCCCCUGAUUUUGAAGGAGUGGUGCAAUCUCUUGUCUUCACAAAUAUAGGUGUAACAUAAGCUUUGAGUCAAAUUCUGUAUAUUUCCUGUAUAGAGUAUAGCAUAUGCUGGUAUCUGGUUACAAAAGGCUAAAAACACAAGAGCCUAAUAUAAAACCAUAUAGGUGAAUC